rnacentral:rRNA from 1 species
UACGUAGGUCCCGAGCGUUGUCCGGAUUUAUUGGGCGUAAAGCGAGCGCAGGUGGUUUAUUAAGUCUGGUGUAAAAGGCAGUGGCUCAACCAUUGUAUGCAUUGGAAGCUGGUAGACUUGAGUGCAGGAGAGGAGAGUGGAAUUCCAUGUGUAGCGGUGAAAUGCGUAGAUAUAUGGAGGAACACCGGUGACGAAAGCGGCUCUCUGGCCUGUAACUGACACUGAGGCUCGAAAGCGUGGGGAGCAAACAGG